UCAAGUCUAGGUGGAUAUGUUUGAAUC
rnacentral:sRNA from 1 species